GCCUUGAUGGUGAAAUGGUAGACAUGUGAGACUCAAAAAUCUUGUGCUAAAAGAGCAUGGAGGUUCGAGUUCUCUUCAAAGCG
rnacentral:tRNA from 1 species